rnacentral:rRNA from 1 species
GACGAACCGUGCGAACGUUGUUCGGAAUCACUGGGUUUAAAGGGCACGUAGACGGGCUGUCAAGUCGGUGGUGAAAUCUUUCAGCUUAACUGGAAAAUGGCCUUCGAUACUGGCGGUCUGGAGGAAGGUAGGGCAUGCGGAACUUCCGGUGGAGCGGUGAAAUGCGUAGAUAUCGGAAGGAACACCGAUGGCGGAAAGCAGCG